GGGCGGUUAGUUCAGCGGGAGAACGCCUGGUUUACACCCAGGAAGUCGCUGGUUCAAUCCCAGCACCGCCCACCA
rnacentral:tRNA from 1 species